AAAAAGGCGAUGAAGGGAAUAGUACACAGGUGACAAUCAACAGAGAGGAAAUCAGUGGUGGAAGAUUUCUGUGCGGAGUGUGUGGAACCGACCCCGGAGCUGUCUGUGAGUAAGCAGACCGCGACUUUGGCGUUAAAAAAGAGUGAAAGAAAGUGAGCAGUCUUCGGGCUGUUAAUUAGGGUGGUACCGCCGGAUAAGCAUCUGGUCCCUUUU
rnacentral:ncRNA from 1 species